ACCAUUAUCGUCCAGUGGUUAGGAUGCCAGAUUUUCAAAGCCAUUUGAGAUCUCUGGAGACCGGGGUUCGAACCCCCGUAAUGGUA